GGUGGCUCAGUGGUAGAGUGCAUGCCUUGCAUGCAUGAGGCCCUGGCUUCGAUUCCUCAGCACCA
rnacentral:tRNA from 1 species